rnacentral:lncRNA from 1 species
UUUCUUAACAAUCUCCUAAAUAUGUCUGCAUUGGUUUUGUUUAUUAGGAUUCAGCUUGAUUCUGAGUUACUACUUUUACAAUCAAAAAUUGCCCAGGAAAAGAAGGAUUUCAAUAAUGAACCUGUAAAGGAGUGGAUACGAGGUUUACCCAACUUCAGAGUCUCAGAGGGAACAAGAACAGGCAGUGCAGCACUUGACAUUGAAGUCCUGUGCAGAAGUGAGUUCAGAAUCCUGUGUUGCUUCACAUCCUGGGCCCAGUUUCAUUCCUUUGUUUGGUUUUAUUUCCUGGGUAUCAUCUUGUUUCUCUGUUCUCCAAGUCUCCCAACCUGCAUAAAUUGUUCCUGCCCUCCCUCUCUGUGCUUUUACCUACUGCAGCAAAACAAGAGGGAUGUAUUUUUCCACUGAAAAGUCAUUUAACUUGUGACUUGUGCUUCUUUGGCCCUGACUGAGAUGAAUUCCACUAUGCUGAGAGAUGCACAUACAUCAAAUUAGACUUUUUUUUGGCCAGAGCUGCUCGUGAUUAUAUUUAAGUGCUCAUCAGGAAUAGGUGAGUGAAGUUCAAAUCAGCUUCAGUUCCCAAAAUAGCCAGGCUGGGUGAGGCUCAGGGCUGGUCCUCCCAGGAUCCUGUCUUCUGCAGUGAUCAAUAGUCCUCCUUGGAGGAGUAAUGCAAGAACAGUCAAAUAUAGAAUGACCCUUCUUCUGUAUAACCUCCAUGACAAAUGGAGUGUCAGGAACUUCUCUGGGUGAGGAUGAUAUCUGCAUUUUAAUAGCUUUUGAUGGAAUUUUAUGCUAUGCUGGAUCUUCAGUGCAAUAUUCUCCUAUCACUGACUGACUCUUUUAG